GUGUCCAAUACGGGAUUCGAUCCCGGGACGUUACGGUUGAAAACCGACGGUUUAGACCACUCGACCACCGAACA